AGAGUGAACGCUGGCGGUAGGCCUAACACAUGCAAGUCGAACGGCAGCACAGUGGUAGCAAUACCAUGGGUGGCGAGUGGCGGACGGGUGAGGAAUACAUCGGAAUCUACCUUUUCGUGGGGGAUAACGUAGGGAAACUUACGCUAAUACCGCAUACGCCCUUUGGGGGAAAGCCGGGGAUCGCAAGACCUGGCGCGGAUAGAUGAGCCGAUGUCGGAUUAGCUAGUUGGUGAGGUAAUGGCUCACCAAGGCGACGAUCCGUAGCUGGUCUGAGAGGAUGAUCAGCCACACUGGAACUGAGACACGGUCCAGACCUCCGUAACGGGGAGGCAGCA
rnacentral:rRNA from 1 species